UUUUUUUUUUUUUUUUUUUUUUUUUUUUUUUUUUUUUCUGACAAGCCGCGUAC
rnacentral:ribozyme from 1 species